rnacentral:rRNA from 1 species
AUGGGGGGACCAUCCUCCAAGGCUAAAUACUCAUCAUCGACCGAUAGUGAACCAGUACCGUGAGGGAAAGGCGAAAAGAACCCCGGGAGGGGAGUGAAAUAGAACCUGAAACCUGAUGCAUACAUACAGUGGGAGCCUAUUAAAGGGGUGACUGCGUACCUUUUGUAUAAUGGGUCAACGACUUACAUUCAGUAGCGAGCUUAACCGGAUAGGGGAGGCGUAGGGAAACCGAGUCUUAAUAGGGCGAAUGAGUUGCUGGGUGUAGACCCGAAACCGAGUGAUCUAUCCAUGGCCAGGAUGAAGGUGCCGUAACAGGUACUGGAGGUCCGAACCCACGCAUGUUGCAAAAUGCGGGGAUGAGCUGUGGAUAGGGGUGAAAGGCUAAACAAACUCGGAGAUAGCUGGUUCUCCCCGAAAACUAUUUAGGUAGUGCCUCGAGUAUGAGACUGAUGGGGGUAAAGCACUGUUAUGGCUAGGGGGUUAUUGCAACUUACCAACCCAUGGCAAACUAAGAAUACCAUCAAGUUGCUCCUCGGGAGACAGACAUCGGGUGCUAACGUCCGGUGUCAAGAGGGAAACAACCCAGACCGCCAGCUAAGGUCCCAAAUGACAGAUUAAGUGGUAAACGAAGUGGGAAGGCACAGACAGCCAGGAUGUUGGCUUAGAAGCAGCCAUCAUUUAAAGAAAGCGUAAUAGCUCACUGGUCGAGUCGUCCUGCGCGGAAGAUGUAACGGGGCUCAAAUCUAUAACCGAAGCUGCGGAUGCUAGCUUGCUAGCAUGGUAGGGGAGCGUUCUGUAGGCCGAUGAAGGUGCAUUGUAAAGUGUGCUGGAGGUAUCAGAAGUGCGAAUGUUGACAUGAGUAGCGAUAAAGCGGGUGAAAAGCCCGCUCGCCGAAAGCCCAAGGUUUCCUACGCAACGUUCAUCGGCGUAGGGUGAGUCGGCCCCUAAGGCGAGGCAGAGAUGCGUAGUCGAUGGGAAACGGGUUAAUAUUCCCGUACUUGAUUCAAAUGCGAUGUGGGGACGGAGAAGGUUAUGCUGGCAAUCUGUUGGAAUAGAUUGUUUAAGCCGGUAGGUAGAAGGAGUAGGCAAAUCCGCUUCUUUAAUAUCGAGACGUGAUGACGAGUGUCUACGGACAUGAAGCAGCAAAUACCACGCUUCCAGGAAAAGCCACUAAGCUUCAGUUUGAAUUGAACCGUACCGCAAACCGACACAGGUGGGCAGGAUGAGAAUUCUAAGGCGCUUGAGAGAACUCGGGAGAAGGAACUCGGCAAAUUGAUACCGUAACUUCGGGAGAAGGUAUGCCCUCUAAUGUAAAGGACUUGCUCCGGAAGCAUCUGAGGGUCGCAGAGAAUCGGUGGCUGCGACUGUUUAUUAAAAACACAGCACUCUGCUAACACGAAAGUGGACGUAUAGAGUGUGACGCCUGCCCGGUGCUGGAAGGUUAAUUGAAGAUGUGAGAGCAUCGGAUCGAAGCCCCAGUAAACGGCGGCCGUAACUAUAACGGUCCUAAGGUAGCGAAAUUCCUUGUCGGGUAAGUUCCGACCCGCACGAAUGGCGUAACGAUGGCCACACUGUCUCCUCCCGAGACUCAGCGAAGUUGAAAUGGUUGUGAAGAUGCAAUCUCCCCGCUGCUAGACGGAAAGACCCCGUGAACCUUUACUGUAGCUUUGCAUUGGACUUUGAAGUCACUUGUGUAGGAUAGGUGGGAGGCUUAGAAGCAGAAACGCCAGUUUCUGUGGAGCCGUCCUUGAAAUACCACCCUGGUGGCUUUGAGGUUCUAACCCAGACCCGUAAUCCGGGUCGGGGACCGUGCAUGGUAGGCAGUUUGACUGGGGCGGUCUCCUCCCAAAGAGUAACGGAGGAGUUCGAAGGUUACCUAGGUCCGGUCGGAAAUCGGACUGAUAGUGCAAUGGCAAAAGGUAGCUUAACUGCGAGACCGACAAGUCGAGCAGGUGCGAAAGCAGGACAUAGUGAUCCGGUGGUUCUGAAUGGAAGGGCCAUCGCUCAACGGAUAAAAGGUACUCCGGGGAUAACAGGCUGAUUCCGCCCAAGAGUCCAUAUCGACGGCGGAGUUUGGCACCUCGAUGUCGGCUCAUCACAUCCUGGGGCUGUAGUCGGUCCCAAGGGUAUGGCUGUUCGCCAUUUAAAGUGGUACGUGAGCUGGGUUUAAAACGUCGUGAGACAGUUUGGUCCCUAUCUGCAGUGGGCGUUGGAAGUUUGACGGGGGCUGCUCCUAGUACGAGAGGACCGGAGUGGACGAACCUCUGGUGUACCGGUUGUGACGCCAGUCGCAUCGCCGGGUAGCUAAGUUCGGAAGAGAUAAGCGCUGAAAGCAUCUAAGCGCGAAACUCGCCUGAAGAUGAGACUUCCCUGAGGAUUUAAUCCUCCUAAAGAGUCGUUCGAGACCAGGACGUUGA